AUGGCGCAGACUAAGGCCCAGACAGGGGAAGGGGUCGGCCACAUGGUGAGACAAAGCUGAGCCAGAGCUGGAUCCCGGAAUCAGAGACUACCUGUGGUUUUUCAUCGCCUACCCAGUAGGGCCAGGGCGCGCAUCUCUAAGAAAAUGGCCUUGGACGGGAACCUCGGACUACGGGCUUCCUUCGUCCGGCCCUAUCCUCUCCUCCGCCCACUUGGCCUGAGUACUCCCACCUCCUCCAGCCUCGGGGCCUGGGGAAGACUGUUCCCCUUUCGCGUCUCCAGGGCGUCUGCAAGGUCCUCUUGCGCCACCGAGGUCGCUCGAGCCGGCUUCUCCACCUGACCCCCGCCUCCGCGCGCUCGCGCCGUUCUUGCGCGGGCGGCAAACGACACCUCUUCCACAGGAAGCCGGGCCCACACCCCCACGCCCUUGCCGCAGUUCACCUCCCCGCCACUCCAAAAUACGCCGACACCCCCGCUUCCUUUCGCUGGGCGCCGUCCUUCCGGCUGGGCUCCUUUCUAAUUGGCUGGCUGAGAGCUUCCUUGGGGACUCGGCCACCCGGAGGGCGGCACAGCGGCCACUCUAGCCGCCGUCCCGGGAUUUGGCCUCGCUCUCUCGGCUGCGAGCUCUCUAUGGUGUUGGCGACAUGUGGCGCCUCCCAGGACUCCUGGGCCGAGCUCUUCCCCGUCUGCUGGGACCUGGCCUCCGGGGGCUGAGCUCCAAGUCCACCAGCCCAGAUGGCCCUCAGGCUGCCUCCUCUGCCCUGCUGGCCCCUGUGCCCAGCUUUGACAGGUCGGGCCCCCAUGGCCCAGGCCCAGGCACAAGCAGGGGCCCAAGGUCCCAUGGAUGGAAGGCUGCCUUCCAGUGGAUGUCUGCCCGUGUCUCCCCAAACACCCUGAGGGAUGCCAUAUCGUGGGGCACUCUGGCCGUGCUGGCCCUGCAGCUGGCAAGGCAGAUCCACUUCCAGGCAAACCUGCCAGCAGGACCUCUGCGAGCGGAGCGCUGCUCUUGGCGCAGUCCCCUGGACCAUUUCCUCUCGUCUCCCUUGUGGCACCCGUGCUCCUCGCUGCGGAGGCAUAUUCUCCCCAGCCCUGAUGGCCCAGCUCCCAGGCACACUGGCCUCAGGGAACCCAGGCUGAGCCCGGAAGAUCGGUCCAUUCAGGCCGAGGGCCUCUCUCCACACAGUUCCUUGAGAGGAGCUGGUCCUCAGGAUCCCUCUGAGGAAGAUCCCAGUGAUGUCAACUUCCUGCAUGCCAGCAGUAGCUUCAGAUCCAAGGCAAAACCGGCCCAGCCUCAGCCCGCUGGUGAAAAGCAGGAACAGGAGCAAUCCAAAACUCUUCCCCUUGAGGAGGCUGUGACUUCCAUUCAGCAGCUCUUCCAGCUCAGUGUUUCCAUCGCUUUCAACUUCCUGGGGACAGAGAACAUGAGGAAUGGGGACUACACGGUAGCCUUUUCUUACUUCCAGAAAGCAGCAGACCGCGGCUACAGCAAGGCACAGUACAAUGUGGGCUUGUGUCACGAGCACGGCAGAGGCACCCCCAGGGACCUCAGCAAGGCCGCCCUUUAUUACCGGUUGGCUGCCAGUCAGGGCCACAGCCUGGCUCAGUACCGCUAUGCCAGGUGCCUGCUGCAGGGCCCAUCCUCCUCGUGGGACCCUGAGCGGCAGAGGGCAGUGUCCAUGCUGAAGCAGGCUGCAGACGCAGGCUUGAGAGAGGCUCAAGCUUUCCUCGGGGUGCUUUUCACCAAGGAGCCAUACCUGGAUGAGCAGAGGGCUGUGAAAUACCUUUGGCUUGCAGCCAACAAUGGGGACUCACAGAGCAGGUACCACUUGGGAAUUUGCUACGAGAAGGGCCUUGGUGUGCAGAGGAGUCUGGGAGAGGCUGUGAGAUGUUACCAGCAGUCAGCGGCUCUGGGGAAUGAGCCCGCCCAGGAGAGGCUGCGGGCCCUCUUUUCUGUGGAGGCAGCAGCCCCGGGGUCCAGCGACCUGGCAGUUAGAGGAUUGAAGUCCUUCUCCAGCCCCUCCCUCUGCAGCCUGAACACUCUGCUGGCAGGAACCUUGUGCCUCCCACAUGCCUCAAGCACAGGGAACCUUGGCCUCCUCUGUAGAAGCGGGCGUCUCGGAGCCAGCCCUGGAGCCCCCAGCAGGGCUCUCCCGCCUCACCCCUACCCCUUGGAAAGGAGUCUCGUCAGACUGGGUUUUGGCUAAGUUGGUAGCCUUACAGACGAGCAGUGGAUACCUUCACAGUUAUUUCUGGUCUGUGCACAAAAAGGAUUCAUCCAGUGACCUGUGAAAAACUCUACUGAAUUGUCCAGAGACCCUGGUCCUCACCUUGGCCCAUGUCUUUGAGCAAAUCCCUUACCUUCUCCCUCCCUGUGCUUCAGUUUCCUCAGGCUGGGCCUGCGUCACGUUUUUCCAACAUCUGAUGUGUGUGCCUCUGGGGGUUCACAAGAAGACUUUAAGUGGUACUUGAAUGAAUAUUUUUUAUUUUAGUAGUUGUAUAUUUAAUAUAUAAUGUAAAAAUGUGACUAGUGCAUUAUAGUUUCACAGAUAUUAAAAUAAUGAAUCAAUUUAAAGUUAAACAUUGUGACAUUGCAUAAAGGGGAGCACAGAUCCAGAGAGGUGGCAAAAAUCGUGAGGGUGGUUCCAUGAACAGCUAAAACGUGGGAAGCACUGGAUCAGGUCAGCCCCCAGACCUUCUCACUCAGCCCUAAAGAUGGAACCUGUGGGUACUCGGAGAGAUACCACAACUUGAGUCCCAAAGAAGAGGCCAGUUAUCCACCCACCUUCCCCCAGAGCCUUAAGCACCCACCCCAGCACAGUAGGAAAAGGAAAGUGUGUGAAGACUCAGAUCCUGGCCAUGUCAGCUUGAAGCCAUGACCUGACUUGCUAUGUCUCCUCAGUUGUAGACCAAGGGCAGUGGUGUCUGCCCUCCCAUCCUACAGGGCUGAUGUGGGGCAUUUCACUGAGGAAGGCACCUGGGUGCUCACUUAGGCCCGAGGAAGCAGAGAGAUGCCCAUGGUUACAUGGCUUUAUGAGUCUCCAGGCCUGGAGAGGACCCGCCUCCUGACUCCUGGCCCUGGGCUCUUUUGCACCCGUUCACCCUGUAAUUUUGUGUGAAAGUAUUGUCAUCGUCCUGCUGAUGUGAAGGAGUAAAUGGAGGUUGAGCACCUGGAGUCUUGGAGCAGCAAGUGUCGAUGUUGAGAUCCUCAUCUGUGAAGGGUGCGCCAGAAAUGGAUGGCAGUUUAAUAAAACAGAUGCUGGAUUUUCUCAUCACUCUUGCCCUUGAGUGUGUUGAGGAGAGCUGGGGAGAUGGACAGGGGGAGCUGAAAGCCGAGGCUCCAUCCUCGUCUCUAAACUCUCCAUUAACCAAUUUAAAGGGUCUUAAAAGCUUCGCUAAGAGAGAGACUUAGAGAAAAAUGAUUUCUGAGUCAACACUAAUGAUUCCAAUUACUGAAUUUGUGAAUAGCUGCUCCCUAGCUUCUGGAUGUUAGCCCAAGUUCAAUAGCAUAGAUGUGGUUGAGGGUGGGGGGUGGGAGGGGUGAAGACCAAACUCCCUGGUGACUGUUCAAAUGGGAAAGACCACCCAGCUUGGCCCGUUCAGAGGUGGGAGGAGUUGGGGGGGUCCACAUUUCCUUCUCUGCUGCCCACCCCUUUCUCUCCCUUACCACUCAUGGUCCCGCCAUAUUUUUCCCAGCACCUUCAUCUCUCCGAUGGAGCCCUAAGCUUCCUCUAGCUCCAGCGCCUCCCUUUCCAGGGCUGCCCUGCAUACUGGCCUCCCCCUACUGGUCCCCUCAUUUGGCUACCUCCCACAGAUGGCUCCUUAGGAGCAGGGACCUUGUCUUUGUAAUUCACUAUCCUCAGCACUUAGCACAAGGCCCCGUGUAGGUAAGGGCUCAAUACACACGUUGGUUAAAGCCCAGGUUUUUAAGCUGCACAGUGCACUAAUCUUUCUGCAAAAAAAAAAAAAGUUUCUGUGGUCAAAUAAGUUUGGGAAAUGCUGCACUAAACAUUCCCUUUUUAUAGAUUCACAAUGCAUAUCAGCAUAUUCAAAGAUCCAAGAAGUCCUGCAGUAAAGAACUUGGUUAACCCAAUGUUUCCCAACCUGAGUUGAGCACAGAGCCUGGCUCCCUGCAGAUUGCAAAGGAACCUUCCUGGGGCACCGUCUGUGUAAGAUGUCACUUCCUGCCCUCCCGUGGAGCCCCACUUGCCAGCCUCUUCCCCUCCUCUUGACAUUUUGGGUUCUCUGAUUACCACUUCCUCCUGACCAUGUCUGGGGCUGAGGGGCACUUCAGAUAGUCCGGGAACACUGGGCGUCCUGUGUUGAAGGCCACAUGCGCCUCCCCUCCCCCUCCGUUGUUACAAGUUAAGUACUCAUUCAAUUUGGUGUGCCAAACGUGAAGAUGGGAUAUUUUUAAGCUCUCUUUGUGGAAAGGGAAGGAUGGAAGAGUCGUGAGAGAUGCUGUCAAGGGACCAAAAAUCCUUGGCUGUUCAUUCACUGCGGUUUCCAUCGGUCCCAGGGGAUGGGCUUCAUCGGCAGACCCGGGAACUGCUGCAUUCUUGCUGUGAAAAUUCCGAUAUUAAUGACUCAUAGUCAGUGUCCUGAAAGGAAAUGUGAGAGGCGGACAGGGAGGUGGCCCCUGUCAGCAGGGCCAGCCUGGGUCGGAAUACAGGGUGACCCAAGGUUUGAGGCCUUUGCCCUCAGCAAUGAGACCUUUGUGCAAGGCUCUGCUGUCUCAGUUUCCUUAUCUAGAAAUGCUGUUUUCAGGGAGCCCUGACAACAGUGAGAACAAGGCUGCUUGGUUCAUUUUAUCUUCAGUGCUAAUACAGUGCAGGACACAGUAAAUGCUCAGUAAACAUUUAUUCAGUGAGUGUGUGAUUCUAUGCAUUGCCCCCUGUCCACCCAACACCCAGCACCAAGCCCACCCAGCACAUAGUAGGUGCGUUAAAUAUUUGUUGAAUAUUAAAAUAAAUGUUGAAUGAAUGAUUCUGUGUACCCCUCCCCCCACUGCUAUUCCUAGUGCUGCUUCUGACAUGUAGUAAUUGCUCAAUAAAUAGUGUUUGUUGAA